AAUAUUUCACAAAGGAGGGAACUCUGAUGCAACAACGCCGCGCGAGAGAAGAAGGCUUUCGGAACGUAAAACUCUGUCAUCGGGGAAGAAUAAAUGACGGUACCCAAGGAGGAAGCCCCGGCUAACUACGUCCCAGCAGCCGCGGUAAUACGUAGGGGGCGAGCGUUGUCCGGAAUUACUGGGCGUAAAGGGUACGUAGGCGGCUAUAUAAGACAGGUGUGAAAGACCACAGCUUAACUGUGGGGUUGCACUUGAAACUGGGAGGCUUGAGGAUCGGAGAGGAAAGUAGAAUUCCUAGUGUAGCGGUGAAAUGCGUAGAGAUUAGGAGGAACACCAGUGGCGAAGGCGGCUUUCUGGUCUGUAACUGACGCUGAGGCGCGAAAGCGUGGGGAGCAAACA
rnacentral:rRNA from 1 species